ACUGACUGGAAACUAGCAGAGACUUAUGCCCCGGUGCACCACCCCAGGAGUCCAACAGCACAGAAAGAAAACACUGAGCUUAGAGCGCACCCCUGAGUGUCCAAGUAAAGACAAAAACGUAUGAGGAAUCUGCUGCUGGGAUGCUGGCUGUGAUGACAGAGGAGUCUUGCUGGUCUCCUUAACUUUCUAAGUUUGUGAAAACAAACUCUUUUGCGAUUUCUUAUUCACAGACUUUAGGAUUAUAUGGAUAUAAGCAGCUGACUUUGAGUGAAUGCAUGUGUGGACACUUAUAGACUAAGAAGAUGAGUUCCAGAAGGCUGAUGAACUAUUCGCUCUCGUGUGAUGGAAGGGGUUACUACGGUGGCAGUGAUAUCAGCUCUCAGAAUAGAAGGGCUGGGUUAGGAGCUACCUGAGCAGUGUUCGAUCUGAAAGCAGGAGCAGUGUCAUGGCCCAAUUAACUGUGGAGAUACAGCCAACAUUUGAGACCACAUUAAAAUCCAAAGCUGUGUCUGAAGACACUGUGUGAUCUCAGGUAUCCCAUCAAAGCAAGUGAAUCCAUUAUGGAACAUUAUUAAAGUUGUCCAAACUUCCUGUUCACCAGUCUUUAAUUUUAACGGUCACGUUUACAGGGUACCCAGUCCCUGAGGUGAUAUGGUACAAAGAUGAUAUACAGCUGGACCGAUACUGUGGCCUUCCCAAAUAUGAAAUUUCACGUGAUGACAAGACACACACACUCCAAAUAUACAACUGUACUCUGGAGGAUGCUGCAAUUUACCAAGCAUCAG
rnacentral:lncRNA from 1 species